GGGAGGAGUUGAAAGCUGAAGCUGUGAAACGCAAGCCUGGCCCAGUCUGAUGUCAGGGGACAACCUCUGAUGUUUGCAAUGACAUAUGAGCCAUCACUGCUGUUCCUUUGCCUUGCAAUGGCACCGUGACAGAAACCCUGCAGGACCAGGCACUGCACCAGUGCAGAACAAAAAGCUCUCCCUACCCCAAAGAAGUCUGAGACUCAUAAGCCUUCUAAAAACAAACUUCGGAUUCAUCAGCUGGAAGUGAUCUCAUCACAUUACAGAUUCGCUUUCCUGGGAAACUGAACUUCUGGUAUAAUCAUGGGAAAGUCUCACCUUCCCUUUCUUAUUUUCUUUUAACUGAGUUUCUAUUGAAAUUAGCUUGGCAGACCAACACCUCAGAACGAAAGACACAAAAGAAAACCCUUUGUUACUACUAUUUUUUUUAAUCUCUUGAUUUUCUUACCAAUCUCGUGAUUUUGAAGAUAGCAAGUGAUAUUUGGAUAUUUAAAGACACAUAUUCAAAUCCGUAGAGUAGGCAGGGUCCUUAAUAAUACAUUUUACCAACAGUCUGUAUAUCCCACCGCUGGCAAAAAAACAGAGGCAAACCCUAAUAAUUAAUUACUUCUCUGUCUUUUGUACUGUUCUUUGAACUGCAACAUUUUUGUUCACUCCUACCCUUUUUCUAGCUCUUACAAAUGCUCUGCACAACUGGAAGGUGGCUCAGCAAAGCCAGUGCAGUAUCUCUGUAGCCAAGCAAGGACAGACUUGGCUCCUCUUCAAAGGGAGCUUUUAUCGAGUGUUUAGUGUGAUGUGACAAAGCAGGGAAGUGUGCCAUGGAUGCAAUGCUUCCAAAUCCCCACCUUCUACCUUGAUUGAACUUGAGAACAAUUAUCCCUUGCCAGGGUGAUGAGCCCUGCCAAUGUGCACCUUGUUUACAGCUGUGCUCAGUUUUUAACUUAUUUUCCUGUUUUGGACUAGGACAGCACGAUUCUGCUUUAUGAACUGGACAAAAUCCAUUUAAAAUAUCAAGUGUCUUGUAUUUUACCACAGGAACCAGAGUGUGGUGUUUUGGGCUGGCAGCCCCAAUGCCCCAGGAUGACAUUGCUCACGUGCCCAAAGUGACGCCUGGACUCCAGCAGACCUGCAAGGUUUCACUGUCAGUGUGGGAAAGCUUUGGAUGGGGCCAGUAGAAACUGAAAAGAUUUAUUCUGAGAUUAUUUUACUGUGCUUGGAACAAGCAUUUACUGUCUGGUGUGACUGAGCUUUAGACGCUGCUGUAAAUUCCAGAUGAAAAUUGCACAGCAUUUGCCAUUCCGUUUUGCCCUAUUUUAUUUUGUGUUUCCUUUUCAUUCCUAGAUUCUGCUUUAUUCUGAAUUCUAAUGAAUUUUUAGAUCAUUGGAUCAAAGUCUUACUAAAAAAAAGCAAAAAAAAAAAACCAAAAGAAAAACCAACAAAAAACCCCACACAUUUUGGCCAAAAAUAUUUGGCUAAACGUUUUUAUUUUACUAAUUUCACCAUUGUCUAUAGCAGUCACUUUAAAAAUGCCUGCACCCAAACCUAGUUUUACUUGAAAAUAUCCUCUUCCUUUUGUCUCUCUCUCUUUUUUUUUUUUUCUUCACAAGAA